GAUGAACGCUGGCGGCGUGCCUAACGCAUGCAAGUCGAGCGGCAGCGAGGGGUGCUUGCACCCUGUCGGCGAGCGGCGGACGGCUGAGUAGCGCGUGGGAACGUGCCCCAAAGUGAGGAAUAACUGCCCGAAAGGGUAGCUAAUACCGCAUAUUAUCUUCGGAUCAAAGGAUUUAUCCGCUUUGGGAGCGGCUCGCGUCGGAUUAGGUAGUUGGUGAGGUAAUGGCUCACCAAGCCGACGAUCCGUAGCUGGUCUGAGAGGAUGACCAGCCAGACUGGAACUGAGACACGGUCCAGACUCCUACGGGAGGCAGCAGUGAGGAAUCUUCCACAAUGGGCGAAAGCCUGAUGGAGCAACGCCGCGUGCAGGACGAAGGCCUUCGGGUUGUAAACUGCUUUUAUAAGUGAGGAAUAUGACGGUAACUUAUGAAUAAGGAUCGGCUAACUACGUG
rnacentral:rRNA from 1 species